GGGUCGAUACCAAAGCGGUCAACUGGGGCAGACUGUAAAUCUGCUGGCAUCAGCCUUCGCAGGUCCGAAUCCUGCUCGGCCCACAA
rnacentral:tRNA from 2 species